CCUACGGGCGGCAGCAGUGGGGAAUAUUGCACAAUGGGGGAAACCCUGAUGCAGCAACGCCGCGUGAGUGAAGAAGUCAUUCGUGAUGUAAAGCUCUAUCAGCAGGGACGAAACUGACGGUACCUGACUAAGACUCCCCGGCUAACUCCGUUCCAGCCGCCGCGGUAAUACGGAGGGGGCCAGCGUUAUCCGGAUUUACUGGGUGUAAAGGGAGCGUAGACGGCGACGCAAGUCUGGAGGGAAAUGCCAGUGCUCAACACUGGAACUGCCGUGGAAACUGGGGAGCUUGAGUGCAGGAGAGGUAAGGGGAAUUCCUGGUGUAGCGGUGAAAUGCGUAGAUAUCAGGAGGAACACCGGUGGCGAAGGCGGCUUACUGGGCUGUAACUGACGUUGAGGCUCGAAGGCGUGGGGAGCAAACAGGAUUAGAUACCCUAGUAGUC
rnacentral:rRNA from 1 species